rnacentral:RNase_P_RNA from 1 species
AGCACUCGGCUGGCGGCCCACGGGUUCCGUAAGGAACCUGAGGAAACACCACCCUCCCCACGGCAGCAGGCCCCCGCAAGGGGGAUGGGGAGAACCCAUGGCUCUGGCGCAGAAACGAAACGGGACCUCUUCAAUGACAAUGAUGCCUUUGCAGGCAGAGGAGGAGGGUGUUCCCGAUGAAACGGCCACCCCCUGCGGAGCAAGGACACCUCCUAAUGAGGGGCCGUGCGAGGGGGUGUACAGCCGCUUAGCCAAAUGCCGCCGUAGUACAGAAGGUGGGUUAUAGCCGAGUGCU